rnacentral:lncRNA from 1 species
AUAAGGCCACAUCCGCUGUCUGCUGGCCUUACCCUAUGGCUACAUGUCUCAAUGGUUCAGAUAACCAUCCCUUCCUUUCCCUUUCAGGCCAAGGGACAUAACUGGCUGCCCACUGGUCAGCCUCCUGGGGCAGGCACAGAAGGGUGGAGGGAAGACCUCAUUAAAUAAAGACAUCCAGCACACCAAAACAGGCAGAAAGCAGACAUGAUAACGAGAUUGCCACCUAUUUACCUUCUUGUAACCAUAAGAAUGAGGGAAGCUUCAUUCCGACGGAGUUCGACCAAAAUAGAGAAGAAGUUGUAAGGGUCUAGAAUUCAGUGUAGAAGUGUAUGCAGGAGACACCAAUCUGGAUAUUAGCACAUAAACAGUAUUUAAAACUACAAGACUGUAUGGGGUUACCAAAAAAGUGAGAAAAGCAGAAUCCUGGACCACACCGCAGUUCAGAGUUUGGAAAAAUGAGGAAGAGCCAGUAAAGGAAAACUGAGGAUUGGUCAACGAGGUAGAAAGAAAAACCUCUGAUGGAAUUGCAACAUGGGCAGAAACCAGAGGUAGGAAGGCAGGCAACCCUUGCAUAAAAAUAUCCACUCACCAACUGUUCACCAACUGUUCUUCCUCUUGCUGGCAUACCUUAUGCAGCAUCCUCAGAUGCCAGAGCGCGUUUCUGCUGCAGCCUCCACGAUGCCUGGGCUGAUAGCAAUCAGGUCCUGCUAUGCUUCUUUCAGGAAGAGCUGACCCCUGGAAUCUGGGCUAGACUUGCACUUGUUUUGGCCAUUGGAAUAUCAAGCUGACUUUUUGUGGGCUCUGGAGACUAGGACCUAAAAGGAGGAAUGUUGCCCCCUCAUCAUUAUGUAAAGAAGCUGGCGCAACCUGCUGGAGGAGAAUAUGCCACCUGGGGAAGAACUGAGGCACCCAGCCAACAUCCAGCACCCACCACUAGACAUGAAAACACUGGUCGGUUACUAAUGGAGAAGAAGAAAAAGCAGCAAAGACAACGAGUAUACUUGGGAUGCGAUCGCAUGCCUGGAGCAUCUGGAAGGAAGACAUUAAGAUGUCAAACUUGGGGCUGCUAAAUGAACAUCUGUAGCCCAAACAUGGGGCACCAGGGCUGGGAGGCUCAGAGAAGUAAUUGCCACAAAAAAGAUGCACCAGGACAUUGAUUUCUUCUGCCUGUUUGCUUGAUUUCCACUUUGAGCUUACUCAAUUGGCUAUUCCUCUGUUUUGCCACC